rnacentral:rRNA from 1 species
UACGUAGGUGGCAAGCGUUGUCCGGAUUUACUGGGUGUAAAGGGCGUGUAGCCGGGCUGACAAGUCAGAUGUGAAAUCCGGGGGCUCAACCCCCGAACUGCAUUUGAAACUGUUGGUCUUGAGUAUCGGAGAGGCAGGCGGAAUUCCUAGUGUAGCGGUGAAAUGCGUAAAUAUAAGGAGGAACACCAGUGGCGAAGGCGGCCUGCUGGACGACAACUGACGGUGAGGCGCGAAAGCGUGGGGAGCAAAUAGG